GGGGCUUUGUGGAUGGCACUGAAAUAUUUCCACCACUUUGAAUUCUCUUUUCUGACUGUUUGUUUACCUGAGAGUAGAACUCAACGAACUCAUGUGCAUUUCUACGUUAAACAUCAACACUUUUAAGGCAGCUUCCUCCACAGGUACGAUGUUUCUGUCCGUCUGAAUGGUGGUUAUUUCUGGCUCAGGCUCUAGUUCUGUCUCUGGCGUCUCUUCAGUCAGACGUGAAUCUGCAACAGCUUCAUCCUGCACCAGAGGACCUGCUUCUGCUUUUGUUUGCUCUACUGUCGGUUCUUUUUCAACCUCUGGCACCUUCACCACUGGAUCAGGAAGCUUCUCAUCCUGAACUGGUGGACUGGCAAAAGCUACAGAAGCUAAUGAUCAGAAACCCUCUGGAUAUUGUUUGCCGAUCAAAGACCACGCCCAUUUACUUGAGUACUCAUCUGUCUUGCCCUCAACAUACCUGUUUGCCGUUGUUUGACCCUGCCUGUGUUUUGACCACGUCACUGUAUAAUAAAAGCUUUGCACAUGGAUCCGCACACCUCACGUCUCGUUAGCUCCAUUACAGCUAAGGCGUUGCUAUGUGGUUGCUAAGGUACCCAGGGUGGUUGCUAGGGUGUUGCUAUGUGGUUGCUAGGGUACUCGGGGUGGUUGCUAGGGUAACCGGGGAAGUUUCUACUCCAAAGGCUGCUUGCCAGUAUGAAUGAUAUAAACCAAACCCCCAUGUCUCUAUAACAUUCAAAUUUGAAGAUAUGCCUGUGGGUCUUUGGGUUUCUAGGGUGCUCGACAGUGGUUGCUAGGACAUGACUAGGAAGUGUCAAUGGUGAUUCAUGAUUGGUUGUUUAUAUAUAUAUAUAUCACAUUUAUAAUUAUAAAAAUUCCUUCAAAUUAUACAUUAUAUUGUGCCCUAUUUUUACAGAUUUUUUCUAGAGUGUAUAUACUACUUGUCAAAAGACUGAACACACAGACUUUUUAUCUAUCAAUAUUACAUUUUCCCACACUAAUAACAGGAGAGUGGUGUGUUUCUGUUGGGCACAUGUGUUUGGGGGGAGCAUAUAGGCCUGUAUGGCUAACAUCAUGUGUGGACUUGACAACAGCACAGCAACUGACACUGUGGACAGGUGGACAAGUCUCACAGUGAGUGUGAGGU